rnacentral:rRNA from 1 species
UACGGAGGGUGCGAGCGUUGUCCGGAAUCACUGGGCGUAAAGGGUGCGUAGGCGGCCUGAUAAGUAGGGGGUGAAAUCCUGCGGCUUAACCGCAGGGCUGCCUUCUAAACUGUCGGGCUAGAGCACGGUAGAGGCAGAUGGAAUUCCCGGUGUAGCGGUGGAAUGCGUAGAGAUCGGGAAGAACAUCAGUGGCGAAGGCGGUCUGCUGGGCCGUUGCUGACGCUGAGGCGCGACAGCGUGGGGAGCAAACAGG